rnacentral:rRNA from 1 species
UCCUACGGGAGGCAGCAGUGGGGAAUUUUGCGUACAAUGAGCGCAAGCCUGAUCCAGCAAUGCCGCGUGUGUGAAGAAGGCCUUCGGGUUGUAAAGCACUUUUGUCCGGAAAGAAAACCUCGUGGUUAAUACCCGUGGGGGAUGACGGUACCGGAAGAAUAAGCACCGGCUAACUACGUGCCAGCAGCCGCGGUAAU